CACGCGCCUGGCGCCGCAGGACACCGGCCUGGCCGCUUCGGUCGGCCAGGCCAAGCUGCCGGUGUUCCGCCGCCUGCGCGUGGC
rnacentral:tRNA from 1 species